rnacentral:rRNA from 1 species
UACGGGGGGUGCGAGCGUUGUCCGGAAUCACUGGGCGUAAAGGGCGCGCAGGCGGCGCAUUUUGUCAGGCGUGAAAGCCCCGGGCUUAACCUGGGAACUGCGUUUGAUACGGAUGGGCUAGAGUUCGGGAGAGGAGAGUGGAAUUCCCAGUGUAGAGGUGAAAUUCGUAGAUAUUGGGAAGAACACCGGUGGCGAAGGCGGCUCUCUGGACCGAGACUGACGCUGAGGCGCGAAAGCGUGGGGAGCAAACAGG